UCGCCUGGUUUUUAAAAACAUAGUUUUAUGUAUUUAUAUAAAAUAUUUUCUGCCCAAUGUUAAAAAAAAUCAAUGGCCGCAGUACCUUGACUGUGCUAAGGUAGCAUAAUCAAUUGGCUUUUAAUUAAGGUCUAGAAUGAAUGGGAUAAUGAAGUUAAUCUGUCUUAUUUGCUUUUAUUAAAAUUUAUUUAAAAGGUGAAAAUACCUUUUUUAAAAAUAAAGACGAGAAGACCCUUAGAAUUUUUAUUAUUAUUUUUUGUUGGGGCGACAGUUUAAAAAUAUAAUCUUAAAUUUAUUAUAUAUAUAACGAUUUUUUUAAUAGAAAUUAAAUUACCUUAGGGAUAACAGCAUAAUUAAUUAUUUAGUUUGUGACCUCGAUGUUGGACUAGGAACUAUAUGGCUAACCGUCUAAUUAGAUUUGUUCUGUUCGAACAAUUUUAUCCUACGUGAUCUGAGUCCAAACCGGA
rnacentral:rRNA from 1 species